CAGCAGUAGCCGCGGGAAUACGUAGGUGGCAAGCGUUGUCCGGAAUUAUUGGGCGUAAAGGGCUCGUAGGCGGUUUCUUAAGUCUGAUGUGAAAGCCCCCGGCUCAACCGGGGAGGGUCAUUGGAAACUGGGAAACUUGAGUGCAGAAGAGGAGAGUGGAAUUCCACGUGUAGCGGUGAAAUGCGUAGAGAUGUGGAGGAACACCAGUGGCGAAGGCGACUCUCUGGUCUGUAACUGACGCUGAGGAGCGAAAGCGUGGGGAGCGAACAGGAUUAGAGACCCGUGUAGUCCCUGUCUCUUAUAC
rnacentral:rRNA from 1 species